rnacentral:rRNA from 1 species
UACGAAGGGUGCAAGCGUUACUCGGAAUUACUGGGCGUAAAGCGCGUGUAGGCGGCCCGGUAAGUCCGCUGUAAAAGUCGGGGGCUCAACCCUCGAAAGCCGGUGGAUACUGUCGGGCUCGAGUACGGAAGAGGCGAGUGGAAUUCCUGGUGUAGCGGUGAAAUGCGCAGAUAUCAGGAGGAACACCGAUUGCGAAGGCAGCUCACUACACGGUCAUUGACACUGAGGCACGAAAGCGUGGGGAUCAAACAGG